CCUACGGGCGGCAGCAGUGGGGAAUAUUGGACAAUGGGCGAAAGCCUGAUCCAGCCAUGCCGCGUGUGUGAAGAAGGCCUUCGGGUUGUAAAGCACUUUCAGUGGGGAAGAAAGCCUUGGGGCUAAUACCCUCGAGGAAGGACAUCACCCACAGAAGAAGCACCGGCUAACUCCGUGCCAGCAGCCGCGGUAAUACGGAGGGUGCGAGCGUUAAUCGGAAUUACUGGGCGUAAAGCGCGCGUAGGCGGUCUGAUAAGCCGGUUGUGAAAGCCCCGGGCUCAACCUGGGAACGGCAUCCGGAACUGUCAGGCUAGAGUGCAGGAGAGGAAGGUAGAAUUCCCGGUGUAGCAGUGAAAUGCGUAGAGAUCGGGAGGAAUACCAGUGGCGAAGGUGGCCUUCUGGACUGACACUGACGCUGAGGUGCGAAAGCGUGGGUAGCAAACAGGAUUAGAUACCCGAGUAGUC
rnacentral:rRNA from 1 species